rnacentral:rRNA from 1 species
UACGGGGGGAGCAAGCGUUGUUCGGAAUUACUGGGCGUAAAGGGCUCGUAGGCGGCCAACUAAGUCGGACGUGAAAUCCCUCAGCUUAACUGGGGAACUGCGUCCGAUACUGGAUGGCUUGGAUUUGGGAGAGGGAUGCGGAAUUCCAGGUGUAGCGGUGAAAUGCGUAGAUAUCUGGAGGAACACCGGUGGCGAAGGCGGCAUCCUGGACCAAUAUUGACGCUGAGGAGCGAAAGCCAGGGGAGCAAACGGG